rnacentral:sRNA from 1 species
CUUUUCUCUUUCUUUCUUCAAUCAAUUCGUAAUCUGUAUUUAGGAUAGUCCUUAGUCCGUUAAUCGGUAGUACGCCCGUUACAGCUUACAUUCAAAUCUGAGUGUGUGACAGUUGAAGUGUGGGCUGCUAUAAGCUGGGAUUUCAAAUCAGAGCAUGUUUUUCUUUCAUCUAAAGUCUGGAUGAAUUCCUCACACUAUAUCAGCAUUCUAUCUGAAUUCAGCUAUCCCCAUUAUGAGAGAAUCUUUGAGAAACAUGGAAUUGCAUAUUGAAUGAAUGAUGGUGCGCCUUAUCAUACCUCUAAGGCAGUAAAGGAGUGGGCAAAGAAUGUGUGGAUGAAUCAUGAAGUAUAGCCUGCACAAUCCUCUGAUUUAAAUUCAAUUGAGAAUCUCUGGAUGACUAUGAAGUGCUGUGUAUCAAAGAUAAGACAUAAGAUACACUCUACAGAGCAGAUGAAGAAUGAAUUACAGAAGAUAUGAGAUUCUAUUACACAGAAGAAGAUAUCAUGUAUAAUUAACUCUCUAUAUUCUAUUCUAUAUAAUACUCUACUGUCAGGGCUAUAUUUAAUAUAUUGGUUG